AAAUAGAUACCCUGGUAGUCCAUGCCGUAAACGUUGGGCACUAGGUGUGGGGCUCAUUCCACGAGUUCCGUGCCGCAGCAAACGCAUUAAGUGCCCCGCCUGGGGAGUACGGCCGCAAGGCUAAAACUCAAAGAAAUUGACGGGGGCCCGCACAAGCGGCGGAGCAUGCGGAUUAAUUCGAUGCAACGCGAAGAACCUUACCAAGGCUUGACAUACACCGGAAAAGUGCAGAGAUGUGCUCCCCGUAAGGUCGGUGUACAGGUGGUGCAUGGUUGUCGUCAGCUCGUGUCGUGAGAUGUUGGGUUAAGUCCCGCAACGAGCGCAACCCUCGUCCCAUGUUGCCAGCGGGUUAUGCCGGGGUACUCAUGGGAGACUGCCGGGGUCAACUCGGAGGAAGGUGGGGAUGACGUCAAAUCAUCAUGCCCCUUAUGUCUUGGGCUUCACGCAUGCUACAAUGGCCGGUACAAAGGGCUGCGAUACCGCAAGGUGGAGCGAAUCCCAAAAAGCCGGUCUCAGUUCGGAUUGGGGUCUGCAACUCCG
rnacentral:rRNA from 1 species